GACCGUGUAGCUCAGCAGAGGAUCGAUCUAGUAAUUCGAAGGUCGUGGGUUCGAAACCCAGCCGCGGGAG